rnacentral:rRNA from 1 species
GACGUAGGAUGCAAGCGUUGUCCGGAUUUAUUGGGCGUAAAGAGUUCGUAGGUGGUUUGUUAAGUCUGAUGUUAAAGACUGGGGCUCAACCUCGGAAAUGCAUUGGAUACUGACAGACUCGAGUGUGGUAGAGGCAAUCGGAAUUCCAGGUGUAGCGGUGAAAUGCGUAGAUAUCUGGAAGAACACCGGUGGCGCAAGCGGAUUGCCGGGCCAUAACUGACACUGAGGCACGAAAGUGUGGGGAUCAAACAGG